GUGGCUGAAGAAGCCUAAAAAGCUACAGAAAAGCCAAGAAAUGCACCCUAAGUACUGCAUUAAAAUGAAACAUCCCAAGAGACAGUAUGUCUGGGCAAAAAGUAGGCCCAGAGAGUGGCACAUGGCUUGAAGCACUGCAACAUCCCUUCGGACUUAAGACCUGGAACUGCCCUUGAUGAGCCAGUCGUUGAGGUACAGGUAGAACUGGAUACCCUUAUGCCUGAGGUUCUUAUGAAAACUCAGACUCUGGAAUCUGUCAAACCUACAUUGAUUUAUAUAAACAACUGACAUUUUUGAAAACUACCUUUAAAGUGAUGGAGACAAGGUGGGUCAGACUAGACAUACAAUGUUGCCAAGAAACAUUACCUUAUCAACAUGAACUAAUGACUUCGGACAGCAGCAGCAGUAGUUAAUAAGAAUAAGAUGAUCACUGAAAAUGGAAGUAUUGCAACUCAACUAGAUAAGAUGCUUAAGAACACCACAAUAAUAAAAAUGUAUCUAGUUAUAUAAAAAUGCUCAAAAAGCCUUUCAGUGACUAUUUUCAAUAUAAAUUGUGACUAUAACAGACUAUUUUUACACUUCAUUUUCUAUUUAUGUUUUGCCAUUUGCUUGUAUUUACAAGACAGCAAAAAGUAAUUGCUGUUAACUUUGGAAACCCCAUUUCUUUUUAAUUAUUGUGCUCAAAGAUACAACAACUACAUUUAAGAAAAUAGUGCACCGCCUAUCUUAUUUACUUUGGAUUUUUUUCAUGUUAAUGCACAUCUUGUUGCCCAAUCAAGUUGUAAACUGAUUUGCCUGCUUGAUCAAGGUACAUAGUUAAAAAGCAUCUAGCAUAGACCACAUCAUAAAUUGUGGAUGUUUACCUCUUGCCUUUUGACUAUAUCAUCCAAUCUCUAUACAAGAUUUAAUUUGCUAACAAGAUUUCAUAUAUAAAAUAUCUUACUAAAAAUCAAAUUAAUUCAAUCCAAGAGGCCAUAUGGAAUAUGAUUACAUAGCAGAAGUGGAAGAAGACAAGGGCAAUGUGGAAAAGCACCAAGAUGUGUUGAUAUGCUUUUGCUAGCUAAGGCAGAGGGUUCCCUUAACAACUUGUAUGGUACUUCAUUCUUGUAAAUAUUGUUAGAUAUCUGAAACACCUUAUCACUCAGAACUAACUUUAAGUGGUCUACUCUUUUUUUGCACACAGACAAGCGUUCACCGUUCUGACUUUUCAAUCUUACAGAUUGUCAUUAGCGGAAUUAAGCUCUGCAUCUGUAAUAUACUGGGGGGAGAAGUGGCAUCAGUAGAGUUAUGCUUUCACAUUCCUACUGAUUUGGACAUUUUGUACAAAAUGCAACUACUUUAAAUGCCCCCUUCGCUAGCUUCCCCCCCACAAGCCUAAGAGUUCACUGUGCUCUUCAACGGUGCUAACUGCCCAAUGCAUGCUUUCAGACUGGGAUGGCCUGCUGCCUCUGAUAUUCCAGAGUGGGAAUCUACUCUACUCAUCGCAACUGUUCUAGGUAUGGAACUACUUCCACUAGCACUGUGAAGGGGGUCAACUAGAGGCAUCUUCACCUACAUUGAAAGAAAACUAGAGAUUAAUCAUACUGUGAAACCUGUAUUAAGAAGCUACCAAAGGGAUCUGACAAAAAUGGGCUCCUUAAUGGAGAUGGUCUUCUAAUAAAGAAGAAGCACAACUGUAUUUAGUAAAUUUGUGCAUACUUUGGACAGGUCUCUCAAAACCGCAGGAUGCCUAAAAAAAUGUAGUCUUAUCCUUCUCCACCUUGUCUCUCAAACAGAAAACUGGAGGGAGUCUGAGGAAGAGCAAGGCAAAUAACUUAGUUGCUUCAGCUAGAGUACCCUCCAAGUUAUUUGUGACAAAAAAAUUUUCUCACAAAGAAAGGAGAGAAUGUAAAUAAUAAACAGCUGUUUCUGGUAGAAAUGUAUGGUACAUUCUAGAUAAUGAUGCAGAAUUUAAGUGUUGAUGUACUUACUGACAACGUAAAACACUUUAGGGCCAUUAUUUUUUACACUAUAUUUUAGGCAAUGCUGAUCUGACCCUUAUGACAAAGCAACACCAUUUUAAGCGCCUGUUCCAAACAAAUUAACUCUAAGUUUGCUAUGAAAAAUUAUCCGAUCCAUCAUUAACUGAAUAAAAUUCUGCCACUCCACUCCCCCCCCACCCACCCCCAAAGGUAGCUUUCCCCUGCUUUCUGAUACAAAAUGUUUCUAUUUUAUUAACAAUUCUCCCAAACAACUGAAAUGUUUCUAUGUAACUACUGAGCAUGACAUGCCUUUGGAUCACUGCUACCAGGUGGAGUACGGAAGGGCAGCCAGGCCAAAUUUGAGUGAAUGGCAAUGCAAUCUAGUGUGCGGUUGUAAUGCCAUUAAAGGUUCCAACCCCUCAGGAGAGCUCAAAGCACUGAGCCUACAGGUUAAGGGUGUAUGGUUUCCAUGAGGGUAGGUCCAGAGCCCUUUCCCCAACCCCCCUCCUCCUAGAAUCCCUGUCCAGAGCACUAGCCAUUAUAGGUAUUUCCCUCCACAGUCUAUAGCCUUAAUGCUGCUACAUCCCAGAGGCUGAAGUGGAGCAGGGAGUGGCUGGAGUUACUAUUAAGAGCCCGUUAUUGUACAAGAAGCUACGUCCACCCUUCCCCCCGCAAUUCCAGGGGAUUACCAAUGUGGGCACCUCCGCAGCUCUCCAAGCCCAGAGGCCCAGUGCAUUGCCAGACCUAAGGUUGAGAAAGGGGAGGCAAUGUGCUGAACCCUGGUGUUGCCACCAAGUGAUGUAGGUAACUGGAGGAGUAGAGCCAGGAACCUGAAGUCUGUGCCCUUAAGAUGCCUGGCUAAGUAACCUACAGGUGCAAUCAGAUCAUUACUAAGUGUAUGCUACUACAGGUGUAAAUAACAGCACCCACAGAACUGGAGGCCAUUUUUAUAACUUUAGGCCUGAGUGUCUUGUGGAUGGUGUUAAGUACUCUAUCUUUGGAUUUAGCUCAGGGAAGUAACUGCAAACAGACAACGGAACCUAUUUUCUGGGGUUGCCACCUGGUAUUGUAAGUAGUUGGGGGCCAGAGACCUGAGGUUUAUACCCUUCCUCUCCUUCAGGCAUUUGGAACAUCCAAUUUUGCAGUUCUUCUAGUGCUUAAUCAUUAGAAAUAGCUGCCUUGUACAGUACAUAAAAUGGAUCAGUUUUUGUGGCAUGAAAAGAGAUGGUGAUUGUACUAGUGCUUUAUCUUCGAAUAAACAAAAAGUUUGGAAAUAUGAAGAAAGUUA